UUUUUUUUCGUUUUUCGUUUUUUUUAAACACGUGGGCUUCGCCUAGCGAGCAUGACAGUUCAAGAAAUUCCUCUGAGCGUAGGUGAUUCUGGUGGCUUUUCUUGGGACUCGCUAGGCGACCCAUUCUGCUCGCCUAGCGAGCAUGACAACUCAUGAACAAACUUUUGCUCCUUCAAGAUUAACGUUUUGACUGACGAAUAGACCCCAUUUGAACCUGUUGGAAGUAUCUCAAGCCAUUCCCUUGUGUUGACUGAUCA
rnacentral:lncRNA from 1 species